AUGGUGGCAGAGCUCUGGAGGCUGACGAAAGGAGCCGAGAAUUGCAGCACACAAAAAGUAAAGUCACGAGGAAACACGACAGAAACAAAAGCAUCCGUUUCAGGGUCCAGCACUGGAACCUCUGACACAGUUUCCGGGUUCUGUAUGUGCGUGUUCCUCUCAGAAAACGUUAUCUGGUUAUAUUAUCCAAAAUCAAGACUUUUCACCUCAAAACUGGCUUGGAGAAAUCAUGGGUUCCUAUCAAGACGCCAAAUGGUACGGCAUGUUGCAUCCUCCUCCCAAAACUUCAGAAGUCUAAGGAACUAUGCAUUCCCAGAAAUAACAAGAGUGACAACCCUGGGAAAUGACAGAGGCCUGAAGGCUGUCUCUUAAUUGGUGGGUAGCCUGGGGUUAGGGGCAGUGGGUGGCAGCCUUGAGGGGCUCAGUGUGAGGGAAAAUUUUAAGGACCGUUCUUGCCUCUCCCCUGAGUUGCUUGGAAGCGAUCACUUUCCCUUUCUCAGCAGAAACAAGGUAGCAACCACCCAGAUGUAGCUAGGAUAAAAUUAGAGUAGCAUUAGGUUAGCUGAUGAAAGCAGGAAAGGGCUGAACAAUCCUUGAUCCUUCACUCCUCCACUCUUCCGUCUCCCAAGCCCAAGGUGACAACCUCAAAUGCCUCCUCAAAUGCCGCUUUCCCCAAGAGCUCAAAGGUGACAGAUCCUGACCACAGGAGUUGAGUGGUCACAGUGUUUCACGGUUUCUGAGACUGUCUGCGCCUGGGGCCCAUCACCUCCCCUCAUAUUAAACUUACUUAGAAAAACACACCUUAGGUCCCUAGGUCUCAACAAAGGUGACUAUAUAAUACAGCACCCAAGAGAGGACACUUCUGAGAGUGAAAAGGACACACUAUUAAUAAUUAUUCUGAGAUAACAGCCACAGACUGAGAUGGUCCCAAGCAAAACGUUAGCCCUUCUCUAAUACAAGAUGCCAGACAGAGUAGCCAACAGCCACAAGGAAUGAAAGCUCACAAGUCAAAACAAUUACAUACCUGAGGAGUACAACGACUGAAAAAGAAAUACAACAAAGUGAGCAACAUAGACCAUUUGAAGUAGAACUACUGGAACAUACUGGAACAUAAGCAUGACAAAUACACUUAAAGAUACAAGGGAAGAUGUUAGUAGCACGAAGUGACAAUGAGAAACCAUAAGGAAAACCUCAUGAGGAAAUAGGUGUAAAAGUACGAUUGUUAAAGACUUAAGUCAUGGGAUAAAUAGCAGUGUGGAUACAUGAGAACAGCAAAUUAUUUAGACAUGGAAAAUGACAUUGAGAAACUCUCCCAGAAAACACAAUAAAACAAUAAAGUGAGAGAAUAUUUAAAAGAAC
rnacentral:lncRNA from 1 species